GGACGGGGGACCCGCCAGCGCGGCCGGCGGGGCCACGGUGCGCGCUCCCGGGCCCCCGCCGCGCGCGCGCGGGGGGCAACGCCCUUCCAGUCAGGCGGGCGGGCGGGAAGCGGGGAGCGCGCGGCUGCCCGUCCCCCGCCCAUGGCGGGCUGGGUCGGCCCCGCUCCCGCCGCUUCCUCCCCCAGCGCGAACAAAGGCCGGGGGAGGAGGCGAGGGGGAGGGGAGGUGGGCUCGCUCCUGCCCCGCCGCGCCCAGGCCGCAAACAAGCGUGUAAAAGCCUGGCCGCGAACAAAAGAAAAACAAGCCCGGAAACAGCCCCACAAACGACGUUAUGUACGUAGAGUCGCCCCGAGAGAGCAGGGCCCCGAGGAGAGGCCGGCGCCCCUUCAGCGGCGUAAGGCAGUGCUGAGACUGGGCCUCAAGUAAGUCAGGCAGGAUAGAUGUUCCAGGAUGGAAUCAGUUCACACCAGCACUCACACACUAAAACAUUGUUACUUAAUAACAAGUCUGUGCUCUGCCAUGUCUUUAAUUCCACGGAAUUUGGGUAAGGAAAUCAAACUGGCCGAAUGUGUUCAAACAUGCUGAAUAUAACCACAUAUACACAUAACUAAUGCGCUCACCACACCCGUUCUUUUGUAAAAAUACAAGUGUUACAGUAGUUCCUGUUUCUGAUCCAGUGAUGUAAUUGUAUCUUAUUUUCCACUGAAAAAUUUGAUUGAUACAUAGUUAUACUACUAGCAUGAAGAGGGAUUACAAAGAUUGGAAGUGGUUGUUUAACAGAGCAGAGGGUUGGUUUCGGCUGGGGUGGGUGGGGUGGUUUUGUUUUGUAAAUCUCAAAUGGGCAAAUCAGUUUUGCUGCAUUUUAAAAUCGGUCAGAGGAAUCACACAUUACUGUGUGCAACACAAUGUUUAAUUCUGAUGCCUUCAUAUAGUCCUGUACUGGAAACUACUAUAUAUGCAUUAUCUUUAUUUUUAAAAUUUCUUUUUGAUUUUUAAUCUUUUUUUUUUUUUUUUGUAUGUGCGUAAAGAUACAUACAGAAACUGUCCUAGAUUGUAGCAUUCAGUGGAGGAGCGUGCAGAUCACCAGAAAUAAGUGGACUUACUCGAUGUAUGAGUUUAUGAUUCUGUACAUUACAAAAAUAUUGGUUGUAACUGAAAAUAUAACUAAAAUAUCUGCUAAUACCUGAAGUUCUAAUAUAUAUAAUUAACAAAACCAAAUCUUUAUUGGUCCCCUUCAAAGUACCUAGUAUAGGCCAAACAAAUUAAAAUAUCUGAAAUAGAUGGGAAAUGUAACUCUCACAGUUUCACAAAACAGUGAAACCUCUAAGCUGCAGCUUCCACAUAUGCUAGGACUAGGUCAACUGAAGCAAAAAUAGAAGUUUUUCUUCUGAAGCUUGGUUUAGAUAUAAAGAAAACCUCUCCUGUAAUCAGGUUGCUCCAUAGUUCUCAGUUGCAAAAUUUCUUGUACCUUUUUCUCAAUCAGCUGAUAUUAACCCCUUUAUAUAGUGCAUACUGAAUUAGAUGAACCUUUAGGCAGUUUCACUGGUUUGUGUGUUUGUUCAUUUGUUUCAAACAUGAUGAUAAAACUACCCGGACUUUGUCAUACCUGGUGUGCUGCUAGAACACCUGUUUUUGCAGGCUGUUCUGCCAUUCAAAACCUGCGUGUUACAACACAGCUAUAGCACACUGGUGGCGAGACUGAAAUAACAUUGUUUCAAGCCUUUUGUGGAAUACAAAGGAAUUGGUUGUUAAAAAGAAAAAAUGGCUGUCUCUGUAUUGCUAAUGGUGAAGAAUUAUGCCACACAUAGUUUUAUACUUUUACCAACUCCUGAUUAAUAGGGCAUCUGCUUAAACAGAGCCAAUGAUUGCAUACAUGUGAAAAAUUGCUUUGUAGCUCUCAGCCUCCAGGCUCUGCUUUUGCUCUUGCUUGUGUGUGGCUGCCAUCAACAGGUAAAAAUGAAGGCUACUGAGAGGCUUUAGAAUAUUUGUGAAAUACAGACUUAGGAAUCUUAAGAACAAAAAAUGCCAUUUUUCUUCCCUCAUCUGCAAAGGUCUUGCACUGUAUGAGAGAGGGGGAGUACUUCCAGGGAGUGGAAGUACUGGAAUGUUUCCUACAUCCUGGUCUUACAGCCACGUGUGGCCUAUUCAAACAUCCCCGCCUAUUCAAAGGCAAUAACCCUCAGUCGAACAUGUGGACUAGACAGGUUAGGUUAAUGAACUGCUUCAGGAAUCCCAACUACAUUUUCUGUCAGAUACAUGGCUGUAUCUUUAACCGUAAGCCAAUUAAAAAUGCAGACCUGGAGGGUGCAGUUGAAUUUUUGAGUCUAGUAGCUAAUAUGACAAGUAGCCAUGCCAUGUGAUAUUCCUUGAAAGCUGUGGAAACUUCACCUUAAGAUUAGUUUGUUUGUUUUUUCCCUUUGCUAAUCCACUUGUAAGGCAAUUUGCCUCUCAAAGCCUUAUUGCAUUGUUUAGAAACAGUGACAUUCACUCAUUUAAUGAUGCUGUAAUGCAUACUGCAGUACUUCUGGAGGCAUUCAUAUCAGGUCUUUGUAAGCAUAACGGUUAAAAAACGCAACAGCUGCUUUUCUUAGGCUGCAGGAGCAGGAACUCUUGUUCAAAAGCAACAAGACAUAAGGACAGAUACUGCAUUGUCCUGAGAGGAGGUGUUCUUUUUCAACAAGAAGAGCAAGGAUUUAACUAGGUCCGCAAUGUAUUAAUGAGUAUGGAUUUUAUUUGCAAGUGAAAUUGCCAUUGCAUGUUGUUUAGAAAUAUGCUAUAUUCAUGUUUCAUGGAAUGUUUUGUCAGGAUUUUUGUAAUUUCUUAGAAAGUAAUUAAUUUUUGCAUACAAAAAUAGCAUUUCUAUAAUCAAAAUUUACAUACUGUUAUUUGAGUAAAUAUACUGCGUGAUUCUUAUAACAAUUGAAGAUGCUCCUUUAAAGAGUAACUACCACCACACAGCUAUGUUAUGCUUUCUAAAGGAAGGGUGGAAAAUCAGCACUUCUCAAAAUUGCAUAGCUCCUCACAUGGUAUAAAAAUACUACAGAAUUAAUAAACAGUUAUGUUUUGCCUACA